GAUGAACGCUGGCGGCGUGCCUUACACAUGCAAGUCGAACGGCAGCAUGACGUGUAGCAAUACACGUUGAUGGCGAGUGGCGAACGGGUGAGUAAUAUAUCGGAACAUGUCCUGUAGCGGGGGAUAACGCGUCGAAAGAUGUGCUAAUACCGCAUACGCUCUACGGAGGAAAGCGGGGGUCGCAAGACCUCGCGCUAUAGGAGUGGCCGAUANCGGAUUAGCUAGUUGGCGGGGUAAAAGCCCACCAAGGCGACGAUCCGUAGCUGGUCUGAGAGGAUGAUCAGCCACACUGGAACUGAGACACGGUCCAGACUCCUACGGGAGGCAGCAGUGGGGAAUUUUGGACAAUGGGCGCAAGCCUGAUCCAGCCAUGCCGCGUGAGUGAAGAA
rnacentral:rRNA from 1 species